AUUGAACGCUGGCGGCAGGCCUAACACAUGCAAGUCGAACGGUAACAGGAAACAGCUUGCUGUUUCGCUGACGAGUGGCGGACGGGUGAGUAAUGUCUGGGAAACUGCCUGAUGGAGGGGGAUAACUACUGGAAACGGUAGCUAAUACCGCAUAACGUCGCAAGACCAAAGAGGGGGACCUUCGGGCCUCUUGCCAUCGGAUGUGCCCAGAUGGGAUUAGCUAGUAGGUGGGGUAACGGCUCACCUAGGCGACGUUCCCUAGCUGGUCUGAGAGGAUGACCAGCCACACUGGAACUGAGACACGGUCCAGACUCCUACGGGAGGCAGCAGUGGGGAAUAUUGCACAAUGGGCGCAAGCCUGAUGCAGCCAUGCCGCGUGUAUGAAGAAGGCCUUCGGGUUGUAAAGUACUUUCAGCGGGGAGGAAGGGAGUAAAGUUAAUACCUUUACUCAUUGACGUUACCCGCAGAAGAAGCACCGGCUAACUCCGUG
rnacentral:rRNA from 1 species